GCCUGGCCUUAAUAGUUGUUGCUUAUUAUAAAGAUUUACAUAUUCUUCUUCCUUCAGUUCACUUAACGUUCUUUAACUAUAAUGAGAAAGAGAGAGGAAGAAGAAGAGGAAGAAGGAAGGAGGCAUAAGAAUUCAUUAUACAAUUCCAAAACUUUUCUCCCCUUCACCAUCAAUUAACAAAUGUACAAGCUCAAUAGUCAACACCGGUAACAAUAGACAUAAA
rnacentral:misc_RNA from 1 species